GAUGAAGAACGCAGCGAAAUGCGAUAAGUAAUGUGAAUUGCAGAUUUCAGUGAAUCAUCGAAUCUUUGAACGCACCUUGCGCCUUGUGGUAACACAAGGCAUGCCCGUUUGAGUAUCAUUAAAUCAUCAACUCUAAAAACUUUGUGUUUUUUUGAGCUUGGUCUUGAGGGUUUUUUUUUUGCAGGCGUUUACAGUCUGCUCCCUUUAAAUGCAUUAGCGAGACUUCCCUGUGCUGAACCGUCUCUUUGACGUGAUAAUUAUCUACGUUGAAUUUGGUUCUCGUUGGGCUUGCUUCUAACCGUCCAUGAUUUUGGACAAACCGGGGAUUUGGGUGCAUAUAUGUGCCCUUUUCUCCAAACCUUUUUUGAUCUCAAAUCGGGUAGGACUACCCGCUGAACUUAAGCAUAUCAAUAAGCGGAGGA
rnacentral:misc_RNA from 1 species